CCGGCAACGCCGCCAUGUUGGGUCUGAGGCGGCUGCUGUAGGCGCCGACGGAGCGAGCGAGCGGACGUGCGGAGCGGCGACAGCGGCGUGGGAUCUGCCUCUCUGCAAGCGGCCCGGAGUGGCGGCGGCGCCAUGAGCGGGGGCACUCCUUACAUCGGCAGCAAGAUCAGUCUCAUUUCUAAGGCGGAGAUCCGCUACGAGGGCAUCCUCUACACCAUCGACACCGAGAACUCCACCGUAGCCCUCGCCAAAGUUCGAUCCUUUGGUACAGAAGACAGACCAACAGAUCGUCCAAUACCACCUCGAGAUGAAGUCUUUGAAUACAUUAUAUUCCGCGGGAGUGAUAUCAAAGACCUCACUGUUUGUGAGCCACCAAAACCACAAUGUUCUUUGCCUCAGGACCCAGCUAUUGUUCAGUCUUCAUUAGGUUCAUCUACUUCUUCAUUCCAGUCAGUGGGAGUGGGUUCCUAUGGACCUUUUGGCAGGAUGCCGACAUACAGCCAGUUCAGUCCAAGUUCAUUGGUUGGGCAACAGUUUAGUGCUGUUGGUGUUGCUGGAAGCUCUUUGACAUCCUUUGGAGCAGAAACGUCGAACAGCAGUAACUUACCCCAAAGUGGUGCAAUUGGAUCUGCCUUUACACAGGAUACGAGAUCUAUAAAAACACAGUUAUCUCAAGGUCGUUCAAGCCCUCAGUUAGACCCUUUGAGAAAAAGUCCAACCAUGGAGCAAGCAGUACAGACCGCCUCGGCCCACUUACCUGCUCCAGCACCUGUUGGGAGAAGGAGCCCUAUAUCAAGCAGGCCUUUGCCAUCCACCAGCCAAAAAGCAUUAGAGAAUCAAGAGCACAGGCGAGCUGAAGUCCACAAAGUUCCAAGGCCAGAAAAUGAGCAACUCAGAAAUGAUAGCAAGAGACAAAUAGUUCCAGGCGCUCCUUCCACUCCAAGGAGAGGGCGUGGAGGUCAUCGAGGUGGCCGGGGAAGGUUUGGUAUUCGGCGAGAUGGUCCAAUGAAAUUUGAGAAAGACUUUGACUUCGAAAGUGCAAAUGCACAAUUUAACAAAGAGGAGAUUGACAGAGAAUUUCAUAAUAAGCUUAAAUUAAAAGAAGAUAAACUUGAGAAACAAGAGAAACCUGUAAAUGGUGAAGAUAAGGGAGACUCGGGAGUUGAUACCCAAAACAGUGAAGGAAAUGCUGAUGAAGAAGACCCACUUGGACCUAAUUGCUAUUAUGACAAAACUAAAUCCUUCUUUGAUAAUAUUUCUUGUGAUGAUAACAGAGAACGGAGACCAACCUGGGCUGAAGAAAGGAGAUUAAAUGCUGAAACUUUUGGAAUUCCACUUCGUCCAAACCGUGGCCGUGGUGGGUACAGAGGAGGGAGAGGAGGUCUUGGUUUUCGUGGUGGCAGAGGACGUGGUGGUAGCAGAGGUGGUGCCUUCACUACUCCUCGGGGAUUUCGUGGUGGAUUCAGAGGAGGUCGUGGAGGAAGAGAGUUUGCAGAUUUUGAAUAUAGGUGACAAGAAGUUUGGGGUUAUUACAUUUUGAUAACCAAAAGGAAAGUCCAGCCACACCCAGGAAAGGAAACAGAAUUCUCCUUUCUUCAACCAGAUGGACCCAAGAAGAUCUCUCCUGCCUGUCAGCCUUGGCUUCUGGUGGUUUUACGAAUCUGAGUGGAUGCUCCUAAAUUCAGUUGUUCAGAAUGCCCAAAAGUGUUCAACUCUGAACUCUCCAUGAGGCCACAGACUCAGCAUGCUGUCCCACGACAGACAUAGUACAGGCCUUCUGAACAGGGGUAGUACCUGUAGCCAGGCUCAUGGAUCAAAGACUUCAGCUCUGUUGCUAUGGAAUGGACAGAUUACUCUUGGCUAUCAGGAUAGCCUAAUCCCAAGGCCACAGCCCCUAUGGCUCCAUCAACACCAGAACUCUGCCUGAGUUCCCUCCCUGACUCACCUUUCCUUCUUUUACCUGCUUAUAAAUUCUUGAUCCCCUGGCAGUCUAUGGGAUACGGAAAAAUCUCCUUGCCCACUGUGCAGACUGGCACAGCUGAUAACUGGUUGGAAAUGCCACUAGGUGGUCCCUAAUCCAUCCAGCAGCUCACCCUCUCCUCUUCCCACCUGCAUCCUUCGUCCUGCAUCCUGACCCCUCUGCUUCACCCACCCUGGAGAGUGCAUGGGAAGUCCCAUAGCAGUUCGUUCAGCCUAAGUCUUAGUUUUUCCCACCCCCACCUCCUUUGUUACUCAGGGUUUUGCAGACAAAGAGAAAUCAACAAAAUGUCUUGGCUUGGGAGAAGGGGUUUGCACUCCUGGGGUCCAGCCUAUCCAUCAGAGAUCUCCCAGGCUUCUGGCCAGCCCCAGCUCCUCAGGAUGAGUAAAGGAACCUGGGACCUUAGAGGUUUGGGUGAGACAGAAGCAGAUGAAUUCCUGGCUGGAGCCUCUUGACCACAGCACAGCCUUUUCCAGCUGUGGGGGUGGGGCAGAGCUCGGACAACAGGAUGCUCAGAUAGCUAUGCACAGGGGAAAGGAGACAAAGGGUAGCUUCCUCAGGGAAGCAAUCUGGAGACUGGGGGAAAAGUUUCCCCUCCUGCACAUAGCCCAUACCACACCCCCCAACCCAUUCCUGCUGCAGCGUGCCACCAAAGGUACCGGGCUGGCUUCAGCCCAGAUCUCUGCAUAUCCAGCAGAUACACCCAGUUGCUCUGUGUCCAGAAUGUCUGGCCAGCCCUCUCCAGUCUCACUCCCAAAUCCUGGGGACUCUGGAAUGCAGCUACCCUUCCCAGCGCUCACAGAUCAUCUUGCAGCUUACACAGCCAGCCCAAGGGAAACCCAUAAGGAAACGACUUAGAGGCCUUAUGAAUACAUCCGUGCAUUCUUGCUUCAGACUUUACAAUUGAAGGCCAACCCAGUCUGGAAGCAACUCUUGUUACUGUUAUAAGGAAACCGCUACCUCAGCAAACAAAAGGAAAGGAAGACUUGUAAUAACGAAUGCCAUUUUUAAAGAAAACUUGUUUUCAGAAAACAGUACAGGAAAUUUGGAAAUUUUUAGCCUUGAGGAGAAGCUUUACAGGCAAAUGAUUUGACAGGCAGGCUCUGUCAAAAUAAUGCAGAGAUUUGAUCUCCCUUCUUAAGGACUUUGUGCGGAAUAACCCUGUAUUGCUUUUUAAGUUGCUGUUGAUCAGCUUGUGGGUUUUUGAGUUCUAACUUUUUUGAUGUAUUAAAGAUACAUCCUAUUACCUUUUUAAAAGUUAUUUUUCUGCCAUUGUAAAUACAAGUAUCAAAAUAUUCUUGCAGAGCAAUUAUAAGUAAACAUUUUUGUCAACAAGCAUAUCUUUUUAUUAAGAGAGUGGAAUGCUAAAUAAUUAUACAGCAUUUUGGACACACUUUCAUUUUUUGUGAGAGGUUCUGCCUACACUGAAAAUAUUAAUUAUAUAAACCUAUUCUUUUUCUCACCUCUACAUUUGAUCUCAUGGUCACCUGCCUCAUGGAAAUGCCUUUUUUAAAACUUAAAUUUGCAGAACUCCACUAUUUUUAUACCUAGCUAGAGUUUUGGAA